GCCUCAUCCCUCCGUCUAGCCCCGAGAUGUGGAGGAGCGGGACCUUGGAUGGUGAUCUAAGGGCGAGAGGGAGAAGUUAAAACCCACCGGGCCGAGAAGGGUAGAUGAGGAACUUAAAGCGUCCGGCGUCCCACCUCCGCCGCCGGUCGCGGCCCCUUUAAGAAGGAGCCACCGUCUCGAAUUGAACGGGGGAAGGGAAAGGAAAGCGGGAAAGACGGAACCACCGGGAAGUACCGAGGGAGGACCGGAAACCGAAGCGCAAACCGUCCCCUCUCGCCGACUUAUCCGUCAGGAGCAGAAAAAAUAAAUAAAGCCGUAGGGAUCGUCCCCAUCGAAGACGGCCGGCUUAAACUUUCCUGGGGCUUAGCCCCCUCUCAACGGCCCCUCCCCACGUCCUACCCGGGCUUCUCCCGGUGUAAACAGUCCCGUGAAUCAAACCCAGGAGAGCCCGGCGGGACGACCCAGACCCCCGGGGACAGCGGGCGAAGGGAAACCGGCUAAAAGAUCGGCUUCCGAGGACGACAGGCGGAGGCCCCGGUGACGCCCCCGGGACUACGGUGGGGCGCCGGGGCUCCCGCUUCGGCCCUCCCUUCCUCCCUCCACUCCCUCUUACCUGGCCGGCGCUGUUCCUCUUCCGGGCGAACCGGUUCCCCCUUGGAGCCCGCGCCGGAGGAUGGUCCGUUCCGAGCCGGGCUUGUCUGCAGAGCCGGGUAGGGCGCGAGGCGGGGAGCCUGGCUGAGCGUGUAGCGCGUCGCGGCGCUGCUCUUGUGAUGACAGCAACGCUCCCGGGGGAGGCCUCGGCUUCCAGGUUCCCGUGGCCGUCCCCGAGUUCACGCCAGCUGAGCACUUUACGUAACCUCUUUAUGUAAGCUGCACCUCCCGCCGCCGCUCUGGUCAGCGGAGAUUCCUGGUGGCCCAUCCCCCAGGAGGCCAGCGGAGAGCCGCGCCGCCUCUCUGCAGCCGAGGUAGACCCAGCCGCCGCGACAGCCCGGAACCAAUCACUGGCGAGAACACCCAGCCAACAAAAAGAGCGCGCCAAAAUCCCGCGAUUUGUACCGAGGGCCUUCGCGAGGCGCCUGCACUCCGCAAACGCCUUUCCGGACUUGACCUGCAUCGUACCUCUACGCCCGCACUCGGCACUUGAUGCUGAUUGGGGGAAUGGCUUAGGUGUAAUCGAUUCACAGCUGAGACCAGGGUUAGAACGCUAAUCUCCACGCCCACUAAUGACCCCAAUGAUCUCAGCCGCACUUAAUCCUCAGUAUCCUUCUCUGCCAAACCCGGGUGGUCCGCACUUCCAAGGUUGCAAAGGACCAAGUGAAAUAUGAUGGCUGGCUAAUUGAGUGCCUGAUAUAAGCUGCUUUGGGCUUGGAUUUUGAUACCCUUCACCCCGGCCGCCCAUUGUGGUGGGAGGGAGCACAAUGGCUGUGUAGUUAAGAAUGAUCUUGAACUUUUCCUCUUGUCUUCAUCUCCCGAGUAAUGGGAUUAAAGGCGGGCACCACCACACCCAAUUUAUACACCCUAUUUGUUUGUACAGAGCUAGGAAUCCAAGGGUUUUGUGCAUGCUAGACAGGCACUUUACAAAGCUACAUCUCCAGCCCCUAGGCGUGGUUUUUUAAAGUAUUUUGUACCCUGCUUUGUACUCCAAUGCCUAGAAGGUGCCCAGUAUUUUGUUAGCUGAUAUUGAAGGACAGUAACUAGAGUUUCUGCUACACACUAUUUUAAGUCUGGGGAAAAAGGAGUAGACACGACAGUCUUUGCCUUAAUUGCGACUCUUGACACUGGAGGAGACAGUCAACCUUGUGUCUUCGUAGAUGUCUCACAGUUAAAGUACUUAGAACAGUGUUAAAAUACACACAAGACAGAUUAAAUGUAAUGUAAAACAAUAAACAAGAGUUUCUAGAAUUUCUAUAGCUUUUCUGUAUGUAAGUGGUCACAUAUACACACAAGGUGUAAGAAUAGUAAAGUCUCAUCUUUUUUUUUGCCAGAAUUACAUUGUUUUGCUAUAUUUUCAUGUUCUGUGCACAAAUAUGUAUGUAUGAAUGUAUACAUGUUGUAAAUCCUUUUAUAUUUAUAAGAUAUAUAUGUAUACAUAUAUAUAUAUAUACACACACACACACAUAUAUAUAUACACACACACAAAUAUAUGUGUGUGUGUGUGUUUUUUUCCCAAGGACAAAGAUACUCUCUAGCACACUCUCAAUACAGUGCAGAACCAUGAACAAUGCCAUGCUUUUGUUUACUAUGCCAUCUCAAGGUUUACCGAUUGUCCUUUCCUUUCUCUUCUAGUCCAAUAUACGAGUCCUCAGCACCUAGCCUUAUUGGAUAAGGAUUCCAACAGCCUCGUUGUUAACCGAAACUCCUUUACUUCUUUUCCUUGUUGUUGCUGGGUUGUUGGGUUUUUUUUUUUUUUUAAUUGGUGGUGAUUUGGGUUUUUUGUUUUUUGUUUUUGUUUUGUUGGUUGGUUGGGUUUGUUUGUUUGUUUGUUUGGAGACAGGGUUUCUCUACUUAGCUUUGGCUGGUCUUAAACUCAGGGAUCUGCCUGUCUCUGCCACCCAAGUGCUGGGAUCAAAAGGUGUGCACCACCAUACCCAACCUCACAAUUUAAACAACUUAAAUUUCUUUAAAGGGUUCAUCUUCAAAUAUUGUUACUAACCUAUUGGGGGUUAUAGGUUCAACACAUGAUUCUGAGGUAGGACCACAAUUCAGUUGGCAGCAAUCUCUUUAGAAAAUGACACUCAUCUGAGUAAUGAAUAGCAAGAAGCCAGUCAUGCCACAACUAGUGGUGGGGCAUUGCAGGGAGAAGAGACAGCAAGUACAAGAGUGGCCAGGGAGAUAACCUUGGUCAAUUAAAGAGACUAUUAGAAUGUAAAACAGCCUGGGUAAUGGCUCAGUGUGAACCUGAUGACUUGAUUUCAAUCCCCACCCCACCCCCCAAGCUGACAAAAAGGUGAAAAGAGAAUCAACUCCACAAAGUUGUCCUCUACCCUGGUACCCACAAUCCUACAGAGAUGGUGAUGAACCCCAGAGGCUCAGAGGUAUGAGUCCCCUGCAGCUGUUGAAUUAGCUAAUAAAAUACUUUCACAUUUGAUUC
rnacentral:lncRNA from 1 species